CUGCGAUGGAGGGACGGAGAAGGCUAGGCCAGCUUGGCGUUGGUUGUCCAAGUUUAAGGUGGUAGGCUGAAAUCUUAGGUAAAUCCGGGGUUUCAAGGCCGAGAGCUGAUGACGAGUCGUCUUUUAGAUGACGAAGUGGUUGAUGCCAUGCUUCCAAGAAAAGCUUCUAAGCUUCAGGUAACCAGGAACCGUACCCCAAACCGACACAGGUGGUCGGGUAGAGAAUACCAAGGCGCUUGAGAGAACUCGGGUGAAGGAACUAGGCAAAAUGGCACCGUAACUUCGGGAGAAGGUGCGCCGGCUAGGGUGAAGGAUUUACUCCGUAAGCUCUGGCUGGUCGAAGAUACCAGGCCGCUGCGACUGUUUAUUAAAAACACAGCACUCUGCAAACACGAAAGUGGACGUAUAGGGUGUGACGCCUGCCCGGUGCCGGAAGGUUAAUUGAUGGGGUUAGCGCAAGCGAAGCUCUUGAUCGAAGCCCCGGUAAACGGCGGCCGUAACUAUAACGGUCCUAAGGUAGCGAAAUUCCUUGUCGGGUAAGUUCCGACCUGCACGAAUGGCGUAACGAUGGCGGCGCUGUCUCCACCCGAGACUCAGUGAAAUUGAAAUCGCUGUGAAGAUGCAGUGUAUCCGCGGCUAGACGGAAAGACCCCGUGAACCUUUACUGUAGCUUUGCACUGGACUUUGAGCCUGCUUGUGUAGGAUAGGUGGGAGGCUUUGAAGCGUGGACGCCAGUUCGCGUGGAGCCAUCCUUGAAAUACCACCCUGGCAUGCUUGAGGUUCUAACUCUGGUCCGUGAUCCGGAUCGAGGACAGUGUAUGGUGGGCAGUUUGACUGGGGCGGUCUCCUCCUAAAGAGUAACGGAGGAGUACGAAGGUGCGCUCAGACCGGUCGGAAAUCGGUCGCAGAGUAUAAAGGCAAAAGCGCGCUUGACUGCGAGACAGACACGUCGAGCAGGUACGAAAGUAGGUCUUAGUGAUCCGGUGGUUCUGUAUGGAAGGGCCAUCGCUCAACGGAUAAAAGGUACUCCGGGGAUAACAGGCUGAUACCGCCCAAGAGUUCAUAUCGACGGCGGUGUUUGGCACCUCGAUGUCGGCUCAUCACAUCCUGGGGCUGAAGCCGGUCCCAAGGGUAUGGCUGUUCGCCAUUUAAAGUGGUACGCGAGCUGGGUUUAGAACGUCGUGAGACAGUUCGGUCCCUAUCUGCCGUGGACGUUUGAGAUUUGAGAGGGGCUGCUCCUAGUACGAGAGGACCGGAGUGGACGAACCUCUGGUGUUCCGGUUGUCACGCCAGUGGCAUUGCCGGGUAGCUAUGUUCGGAAAAGAUAACCGCUGAAAGCAUCUAAGCGGGAAACUUGCCUCAAGAUGAGAUCUCACUGGGAACUUGAUUCCCCUGAAGGGCCGUCGAAGACUACGACGUUGAUAGGCUGGGUGUGUAAGCGUUGUGAGGCGUUGAGCUAACCAGUACUAAUUGCCCGUGAGGCUUGACCAU
rnacentral:rRNA from 1 species